GCCCUGAUGGUCUAGUGGUUAAGAUUUGGCGCUCUCACUGCCAUGACCCAGGUUCGUUUCCUGGUCAGGGAA